rnacentral:ncRNA from 1 species
AUGAGAUUUUCUUAAUGGCCUUAGUAAAGCAGCAAUUUCGGGACAUGGACGUCCCGAAAAGUCCGCUAUGAGCCCGGAUGGCGAAUUGCGGAUGGUUGCGUUCGGUAAGAUACUCUUCCUAAAGAACAUUUAGAAAAUCCAUUUUCCGA